UUGACAAAGAUAAUUCUCCCAAGUGGUCUCCACCAACUCUGGAUAAAGUAGAAGAAGGAAAAGUGGACCUUAUAUUUCAGGAGUUCGAAGAAAAAUUAGAGCUUCAGAUUCCAGAAAAAGAAUGCAGGUGGGAUGAGAAAUAUGAGAAUUCAACCUAUGCUUUAUCUAAGGCAUCGAAAUGAGCAAUAAAUCUCAUCAACAACAUGAACGUGCUCAUCCAAGUUAGCAUCUUGUGCUUCUUGCAGGGUUGGUUUGUGUGUUUAUGUGACAGUUUUUCUUACCUCUUGUAGUGUAAAAGGACUCUAAUAAGUCACCAAUCUAUAGCUUUGUAACAUUUCAGGAAAAUAAAUGCUCAUUUGAUCA